UACAGAGGGUGCGAGCGUUGUCCGGAAUCACUGGGCGUAAAGGGCGCGUAGGCGGCCAUUCAAGUCGGGGGUGAAAGCCCAGGGCUCAACCCUGGAAUUGCCUUCGAUACUGUUUGGCUAGAGACCGGAAGAGGUUAGUGGAACUGCGAGUGUAGAGGUGAAAUUCGUAGAUAUUCGCAAGAACACCAGUGGCGAAGGCGGCUAACUGGGCCGGUUCUGACGCUGAGGCGCGAAAGCGUGGGGAGCAAACAGG
rnacentral:rRNA from 1 species